AGCCGACCCUGCUCAGCCCACCCCUGAGAUCACGCAGCCGGCACUGGCGCACACUGGGGGGACUCUGGGCGCUGCUCUCACCGCCAAAGAGACGAGCUCUGAGGCGGAAAAGAGGGAGACUGGAAGGAUCAGCAGACAGAGCUGCCCCCGUGCUUGCCCCUGAGGGACUUCCCCGACUCCGCUCCGGUCAUGUCCUCAGACCUGGGACAUGCGACAGAGAGCCUCUCCACCCUGAGUGUGCUGGGGGCCCAGUCAGGAGGGGCUCAGGUCUGCAGAGGCCGUCUCUCACCCAGCUCGUUUCGUUCGGCGUUGAGGUCUCAGGCCGCUGCCUCUGUCACAGACCUGCGUACAGAACCCCAGCUGGCUUUGAGGGGAC
rnacentral:lncRNA from 1 species